rnacentral:rRNA from 1 species
GACGAACCGUGCGAACGUUGUUCGGAUUCACUGGGCUUAAAGAGCGCGCAGGCGGUCGUUCAAGUCGCGUGUGAAAGCCCCCGGCUCAACUGGGGAGGGUCACGCGAUACUGAUCGACUCGAAGGCAGGAGAGGGUAGUGGAAUUCCCGGUGUAGUGGUGAAAUGCGUAGAUAUCGGGAGGAACACCAGUGGCGAAGGCGACUACCUGGCCUGUUCUUGACGCUGAGGCGCGAAAGCUAGGGGAGCAAACGGG